CCUGCGGAGGUCAUUAAUGAAUUCACUAUGGAGUUGUUGCUGGCCUCUAGGGGCAUGUGCACGCUUCACUAGUCUUUCAACCACCUGUGAACUUUUGAUAGAUCUGUGAAGUCGUCUCUCAAGUCGUCAGACUUGGUUGCUGGGAUUUAAACGUCUCGGUGUGACUACGCAGUCUAUUUACUUACACACCCCAAAUGUAUGUCUACGAAUGUCAUUUAAUGGGCCUUGUGCCUUUAAACCAUAAUACAACUUUCAACAACGGAUCUCUUGGCUCUCGCAUCGAUGAAGAACGCAGCGAAAUGCGAUAAGUAAUGUGAAUUGCAGAAUUCAGUGAAUCAUCGAAUCUUUGAACGCACCUUGCGCCCCUUGGUAUUCCGAGGGGCAUGCCUGUUUGAGUGUCAUUAAAUUCUCAAACUCACUUUGGUUUCUUUCCAAUUGUGAUGUUUGGAUUGUUGGGGGCUGCUGGCCUUGACAGGUCGGCUCCUCUUAAAUGCAUUAGCAGGACUUCUCAUUGCCUCUGCGCAUGAUGUGAUAAUUAUCACUCAUCAAUAGCACGCAUGAAUAGAGUCCAGCUCUCUAAUCGUCCGCAAGGACAAUUUGACAAUUUGACCUC
rnacentral:rRNA from 1 species